AUUGAACGCUGGCGGCAUGCUUUACACAUGCAAGUCGAACGGCAGCGCGGGCUUCGGCCUGGCGGCGAGUGGCGAACGGGUGAGUAAUGCAUCGGAACGUGCCCAGUAGUGGGGGAUAGCCCGGCGAAAGCCGGAUUAAUACCGCAUACGACCUGAGGGUGAAAGCGGGGGACCGAAAGGCCUCGCGCUAUUGGAGCGGCCGAUGUCGGUUUAGCUAGUUGGUGGGGUAAAGGCUUACCAAGGCGACGAUCCGUAGCUGGUCUGAGAGGACGACCAGCCACACUGGGACUGAGACACGGCCCAGACUCCUACGGGAGGCAGCAGUGGGGAAUUUUGGACAAAGGGGGCAACCCUGAUCCAGCCAUGCCGCGUGCGGGAAGAAGGCCUUCGGGUUGUAAACCGCUUUUGUUCGGGAAGAAAUCCUCUGGGCUAAUACCCCGGGGGGAUGACGGUACCGGAAGAAUAAGCACCGGCUAACUACGUG
rnacentral:rRNA from 1 species